AAACGGCCGACAUGGUGAAGCGGGGGCCGAGAUCACUUGGUUGAUAGUUUGACGUGGGGGAGAUUGUCAGCAGGACCUGGUUGUUUGAAUGUUUCUACUAUUUAGUUUUUCCAUUUUUUAUUUAUUUUUCAUUUUAUGUUUUCUGGAGGGAAGAGAGGCAGAGAAAAACAUGAGUAGAUUUCCAAUCCCUAGAUCUCUGCUAUUCCUUUUACUGCUGUGCUCGAUCCAUCUGCAAUUCAUUUCAGGGUUGGCGAGCGAUCCAUCGAGUACCAAAAAUGAUAACAAAACUGUGAGUCAUGGUUCUUCAAGUGGCUCUAUAGGACUCAAGGUAGCCAUUGUUUGCCUUGGUUUGGUCGCAGUUGUUGGUUUUUCUGUGCUCUUAUUCAAGAUAUGGCAAAAAAAGAAGAGAGAAGAGCAGCAUGCACGUCUCCUAAAGCUUUUUGAAGAUGACGAUGAGCUCGAGGUUGAGCUUGGUAUUCGGGAUUGAGUUCCAUUCACAUUGUGUGUUGACUGUAAUUAAAUGAGGUGCGCCUGAUGGCUUCUAUGAUGUUGUCUUCACUUCUUUUCAAGUAUAGUUCAUUUGAAACCUUACAGUUACCGUGAUUCUGCAUUGAAUGUUUUU